rnacentral:hammerhead_ribozyme from 1 species
AUCCAGAUUAUUAGUCCCAAAUAAGACGAAACGCUCGUCUUGGAU